rnacentral:hammerhead_ribozyme from 1 species
AUCCAGAUGAUGAGUCCCAAAUGGAGCGAAAAUGCGCAUGCUGGAU